AUUCCCCUUCUUCUUCUUCUUCUUCCCGGUUCUUCUUCUGCAACUGAUUGAGAGAAAUCAGAUCGGUGGUUCUGUAAAAGAUGGGAAAGAUCAAGAAGUAACUUUUGGUGGUGUUGUUGUUUAAUUGGUUGCUUUAGAUUCACCAGAAGAGUAAAUCAGGGGGACUUAAAUUAGGUUUUAGACUUGCUUUUGAGUUCGUAUUCAAUUGGCAAGCAAAUUGAGUUGUUAGAAGAUGAAGAACGAUUGGGUUGGUGUUUAAUUGAUUUUCAGAUGUUGUUCUCAUGAAGAAUCAGAGUUAGGGUUUCUCAUAAAUUGAAUUAGGGAUUGUAAGAAGAACGCAGAGAUUGUCUAGAAGAUGGAAUUGAUGUUCUGGGAUGUUGAUAUGAGAUGGGUUUGAGUUUAAUUAGGGUAGAAGGUUGGAGAACAAUUCAAUUUUGACAGUUAGGGUUAUAAGUCGUGCAUCUGAUGUUCAAUUGAAGUUGAAUAUGUGAAGUAGUUGAUGGAUCUAGGAUUUGAGUCUGUUGAUAAGAAGGCGGCAGAGUAAUUGUUGGUGCUAAUUUGUAUAUUGAGAAAAACUCAGAUAAGAGGCUAAUGAUACCAAGUAGUAUAUACAGGGCAUGUAAGAAGUUAUGGGAAUGGUUAUAUUUAAUGGGAAGAACUGGAAGUUAGAAUCAGUUUGAGAUAAAGAAGAUGAAUGAUUGUUGCAGGUGGGGUUGAUGCCAUGAUAUUGCAACUUCAGAUGUUGCUCAGGAGAAAGAAUGUUAUGAAGAAGAAUUCAAUUCCAACUGCUCAGGGAGAAGGAGAAGUAAAUUGUAUUGUGAGUUGUUAUGAGGAUUGAACUGGUUGGUGCUUGGGCAUAAUGGUUUUAAGGUAAUUUCUUCUCUGAAUUGAUUUGGUAAAGUCUUUCAUUUCCAUUGGUUAUGUAUAUGUGAUUGUCAAUGGAAUUAUGUUUGCAAGAUGAGUAUGGGGGUUUUGGUUGUGGUCUUGAUAUAUGCUAAGUUACAGGGAACUGGUAUUGAUAUUCAAGUGAUGCAGGAGUGGAGUUUUGAUUUGGUGUUUAAGUAAUCUAAAUUACAGGAGUCAUGGAUAAUUGGCGGAGGUAUGGAAAUGUAUGUUUUGGUAGUGAUGAAUUGAACUGAUAUGUUGUUGGGUUGUUGUGUAGUGAAUGAGUAAAUGUUGAAUUGUUGUGGAUGUGUGAUGAGUGUGUUUAUGAAGAUAAGGACUGAUGAUGAAUUGAAAUGAGAUUAAAACAGGCUUGUAUGAGUUGGAAUUGCAGAUGGUUUGUUAGGUGCAGUUGUAGAGUGGUUUGAAGUUCUGGUGGUGGAUAUGUUGUAGAAGUGUGUCUAGCAAUGAAGUUGCAGUUGGAUAUUAAAAAGGUGUUAGUUGUAGCUAGAUCUAGAGAUAGAGAUAGAGAUAGAGUUGGAAUGGUUGUGUAGUGAGCUGAAAUGAAAUGUUUGUAUGACUGUAAUGUAAGAAUGGAGGUUAGACGAACACUGGAGUUGAAUCUGUGCAGUGAAAUGCUUGCAGUUGCUGCCUAAAGUAUUAUUAACAACGAGCGAAUCAAAGGAUGAAUCAGUAGAUCGUGGAUCUCAAGGUAGGCGUGGCUUGUCAUCAAAAGAGUUUUCAGUGACAGAUCAGAUUUGCGUAGCGAAAGCUUCGGGUUGAGUUCGCUAGUUGAUUAACUUCUGCUAGGUUCAUUAUGUUGUAUAUUUUAUUUGUAAACCAAAUGACUAUUGUAUAUGUAUCAUUUGAGAGGAAUCCUUGUAUACAUAUAUUUCUGAGCGGGGCUAGUUUUGGGAUAAGUUUUUGUAGCAGAAUUCUAAAUAGAAUAUUUAAGUAAAUGAUUUAGAUUCUCAGUGUCUCUUUAUUUAGUCAAUCUCUUUGAUUAGUCAGCUGCUAUCUUAGGGGGCGCUACAGUUCUAACUUCUCCACUUCGUUCAGCCGAUGGUGCAACAGUUCUUCCUUCGUACUAGGAGUCGC